ACUGCGCACUCUGGUCGGGAUCAUGAAGGAGGUCGGUCCCGGCUCCGUCCCGGAGGUUUCCCGGAAAAGGAGCGCGGAGCCCGGCCCGCCGCUCAAGCUCGGCCCGGAGAGGAAGAGGGCGUGCUGGGGCAUCCUGACCAGCCAAGGGUCCUGGGCAGACCGCUCUCCUCUCCAUGAAGCUGCUUCUCAGGGUCGACUGCUGGCUCUGCACACCCUGCUCACCCAGGGCUACCAGGCCAACAUCGUGACCAUGGACCAGGUGACGCCGCUGCACGAAGCCUGCCUGUCGGGACACGCAGCAUGCGUCCGGGCGCUGAUCCGGGCCGGCGCCAACGUGAACGCCGCCACCAUCGACGGCGUCACGCCGCUCUUCAACUGCUGCGCCGCCGGCAGCGCGGCGUGUCUGGAGCUGCUGCUGCAGAGCGGCGCGCACACACACACCGCGCACACACACUUCCCCUCGGCGCUGCACGAGGCCUGCAAGAGAGGUAACAGUCAGUGUGUGCAGUCCCUGCUGUCUCAUGGGGCAGAUCCGGACUCUGAACUGCCCCACCUGGGCUCCGCCCUCUACGUCAGCUGUCUGCACGGCCACGCCUCCUGCUCCCAGGUCCUGCUGCGCACAGGGGCUCGGGUGAACGUGGGCCGGGGGGAUGACAGUCCGCUGCACGCCGCCGUCCGGCAGGACAGCGCCGAGCAGGCCGCCGCCCUGCUGCAGUACGGAGCCGACGUCAACCUGCGAGACGGCGCCGCCCGGCGGCCGCUGGAGGUGGCGCCCCCCGGUGGCAGAGCGCAGCAGCUGCUGCAGGCGUUUGAAGCCUCCCCCCGGAGCCUCUGCCAGCUGUGCCGUCUCCACAUCAGGACAGUGAUUGGACGGUCCCGGCUCAAGCUGCUGCCCCAGCUGCCCCUGCCCCCCCUGCUGACCCGCUACCUGGAGCACCGGUAGAGCCGCGGGACCCCCCCCCCCAGGCUGGACUCCAGGCUGCUGGACGUGUUGGUCCAGGCUGGACUGUCUCUGAAGUCUCCGCAUGCUGAACCGGGCCGGGUCCCUGAAGCAGCUGGAGACGGAUGGACACGUCCUGGAGGUUCCCCGAAGGAUCAUGGGACUGGGAAGCAGGUCCUGAGGGACGGUCCUGGUGCACACACACAGCCUGGACACACACAGCCUGGACACACAGCCUGGACACACACAGCCUGGACACACAGCCUGGACACACAGCCUGGACACACAGCCUGGACACACAGCCUGGACACACAGCCUGGACACACACAGCCUGGACAGCUCAGGUGUUGCCUGUUUCCGUGCACAGUGGAAAUAUCACUUUAUCACUUUAUGAAAAACUUUUUCAAAAACUUGUACAGGUUGAA